ensembl:rRNA 5S_rRNA 5S ribosomal RNA
GUCUAUGGCCAUGCCACCCUGAAUAAGCUUGAUGUCAGAUCUCGGAAGCUAAGCAGAGUCGGGCCUGGUUAGUACUUGGACAGGAGACCCCCUUGGAAGACCAGGUGCUAUAGCAA